GCUGAUCCCAGCUCCAGGAUAAUCCCAGCUCUAGAUUGAUUCCAGCUCUAGGUUGAUCCCAGCUCUAGAUUGAUCCCAACUCCAGGCUGAUCCCAGGUCCAGGCUGAUCCCGGCUCCAGGCUGAUCCCAGCUCCAGGUUGAUCCCAGCUCUAGAUUGAUCCCAGCUCCGGGUUGAUCCCAGCUCUAGAUUGAUCCCGGCUCCAGGAUGAUCCCAGCUCUAGGUUGAUCCCAGCUGCAGGUUGAUCCCAGCUCUAGAUUGAUUCCAGCUCUAGGCUGAUCCUGGCUCCAGGCUGAUCCCAGCUCCAGGAUGAUCCCAGCUCCAGGCUGCCACCUGCACUCUAACCCCUGUUCCCACAGGAAAUGUGGCUCUAACCCAUAAUGAGCUUCAGACUAAGCAAAAAAUUUAAAAUAAAGGCCUUUUCCCACCCUAA